CACCUCUCUCUUCUUUUUGUGGAAUUUCCCUGCCCUCACAUAAAAUCAGUUGGAAUUUCACAGAAGCACUGAAAAAUCUGGCUUCAUGUGAGAUGCUGAAAGAGCCUGUGGCAGUGAAGUCAAGUUCUGUGCCCAGCCCCCUCCUUCAGCCACUAGAUGACACUGCCUCCCCCCAAUAACGAAGUUGUUAGCAGUUCUCAACAAGACAGAAACAUGCAAGACUUCUGAAAUUUGUUACCUUUGGUACUUUUUGGGGUGGGCGGGGGUGGAGUGGGGAGAUGGGGAAAAAAGCGUAAUUAGACUUACCAGAGAUAAACAUUUUAAAAGCUUUCAUGUCUAGUUCAGGACCAAACAUGUUAUAAUGUAGUAUUUUCUGGGCUCUUUUUUGCCUUUUUAUUGAAUUUUUAGUAACUGGUCAGAGCUAUUACAUUACCAGAAUCAUGAAUACAAAGUCAGCUUAAGCUUUUCUCCCCACCAACCCCCCUCAAAUACAAGGCAUGGCUGGUAGUUUAAGAAUUCAUCAAAUCUGACCUUCAAAUAGUUAAUUUAAGCAUGAUUUCUCUGGCUUUCUUACUCCUCCCACUGAUAAGAGUUUCUUCUUCUGGGGUAACUGCCUCUAGUAAAAAUGCUGCAAUGCAGUUAAGAUGCUGGUGUGAGGACUGUAAAUUAUGCGUUAGGGGAAUUUUGCUAUGCUGCACUUCAGCCUGGAAGCAAAGGUUUUUUUCUGUUCAAGUCCACAACUUUUGCUUGCCAGUGAGAUGGCAGAGCAUUACGUGGGUGCCUUUUGGCCAUCUGGAUCCAUAGGCACCCGAAGACAACACUAAUUCCAUGAUUAGGAAACUCUCAUCACUUCUACUAACAUAAUUGUUUUUUAACUACUUCAGAAUAGAUUCUGAUGAAUAAAGCUACUGAUCUCUUUAAACACUUCAUAGAUUCACUACCUAGAAUUAUGUAUUCAUUCUUUGGAUAUGGUGUCAUAAAGUCUAGGUACAAGUUCAAAAACAUGCCCCGUGUAACAUACUUGUUAAAAUCCAGUGUCACCUCCCAUCAAAGCCUGAUCAGCAAUUUCAGUACCUCAAUCACUCAGAAAAUAUUUCCAAAUUUAACACAUAGCAAGUAUCAAGCUCUCCACUAAGAAGACUAUGAAAUAAAUACAAUAUACAGUAUUUCCCUUUGAAGACCUUUUAACUUACAUGGGACUACACAAAAGUGUGUGUGUGUGUGUGUGUGUGUGUGUGUGUGUGUUUAUGGUUGAUGAUCAUAAGCCAACAAGGUACAGAUAAGACUUACUUUAGGAAGUAGGGACUGUUAUGGAAGAAAUGUUUGGAGAAGGCUUCACAACAUAGAUAGAACUCAAGAUGUGUACGACAGCUAAGGUUUGGGUUUUCAAAGCCAAAAAGAGAGCUUGGCCUUGAUGAGGCAUCUAAUAAAGGGCAACUGGGAGUUUUUCAACGAAAUGUCACUAUUAAUGUAGUUAUUUUAAGACUAUGUGUUUGACAGCAGUAACAAAGGCAUAUAGAAUAGGGAGACCUGAAUGAUGACGCUCAUCUGUAAACUUGUGUAUUUAAGAAACUGUGAUAAUUUUCAUUAUGAGUGUUCAUUUUCCCUGGGUGGUAGAGAUGUCAUCUUGGUCAGUUUCCUGGGGUUGCUUCUUGCACUUGGCUGGCACAGUGAUGCUAAGGCAGUGAGUGCUUGGCUGGGGUUGGAACACCUGGUCCUUGAUCAUCAAUCCACACAGAUCUCUGGGUCAUCACAAUGGUGCUCUUGGAUGGUGUCUUGGUCUGUUCUGGUUGCUGUAACAAAAUGCCACAGCUAUUUCUCACAGUUUGGGGAAGAGAGAUCAAGGCACCAGCAGAUUCAGUGUCUGGUGAGGGCCUAUUCCUAAUACAUACUGUCUUUCUGCCUCACAAUGUGAGAGGCCAAACAAGCUCCCUUGGCCAUUUUAAUUUUUAUUUUAUUUACUUUUUUUGAGAUAGAGUCUUGCUCUGUCACGCAGGCUGGAAUGCAGUGGCGGGAUCUCAGCUCACUGCAACCUCCGCCUCCCAGCUUCAAGUAAUUCUCCUGCCUCAGCCUCCUGAAUAGCUGGAAUUACAAGCACCUGCCACCACGCCCAGCUAAUUUUUGUAUUUUUAGUAGAGACAGGGUUUCACCAUGUUGGCCAGUCUGGUCUUGAACUCCUGACCUCGUGAUCCACCCGUCUCGGCCUCCCAAAGUGCUGGGAUUACAGGCGUGAGCCACCGCACCCGGCCACCUUGGCCGUUUUUAUAAGGGCCCUAAUCCCAUUCAUGAGGCCCAUGCCCUCACAGUCUAAUCAUCUCCCAAAGGCCCCGAUUCUUAAUAUCACCAUGUUGGAGGUUAGGAUUUCAACAUAUGAAUUUGGUGGGGAAAAGGGGGUGAGCGGGAGUGGCACAAACAUUUCAGAUCACAGCAGAUGGCUAACUUGUCUACUCUAGUGCUCCUCUUGGGUGCAUGGGAAAUCACUCUCCUAUUUCCCAUGAAGUAUUUCAGUCAUUUCUCCCACACACUGAAUUUCUAUUACACAGGGAGUCUGGGGGUCAAUGUAAAACUAGGACAUAGGUCAGCCUUGUUCUGAAUCCCCUCAAACCCAUGGGCGGGGUUGGGUUUAGUUAUGUUGUCUCACUCAUCCAAGGUUCAGUCUGGAAGGAAACUAUGGCACAUGCCUCUUUCUCAGAGAAAUACCCUCAACUUCUCUCUGGCUUUCCUUCCAAUUCUCCUUUAUCACAGGUCUGGAGAAUCUUUUCUGGCAGAGGGAGUUGUGGCUCCUGCAUCAUCCUGAAUUUGCUAGGACUGGAGCCCUGAGUCCCCCAAGUCCUUAGGCUUUUGCAAUCCAAAACCCUAGGCUUUUGAAUCUAAAUUCAGGGGACUUUUUGCUCCUAUUCUGCAAUAUCAUUUCUUCUCUAAGUCAAUGCCACUGACUAAGUGGGAAGUUAACGGUAAGGGGUAAGAGGAAACACAGAGUUGGAAUGUAUGAUCCCAGGCUAAUAUCUCAAAAUUUGAACUCACUCUGCUGUUGAGAGUCUACUGCACAAAACCGGACAUAAAGACUUAAGGGCUGAGUGGCAUUAAGAAUGGAAAUAAAAGAUUAGACAAGAGAUAUGGCGAAUGAAGAAAUAACAAAAUCUUGUUUGGGGAAUAAACACAAGGCUCAAGUGGGGGGCGGGGGGGAAUGAACUGGAAGGACUGGAUGGAGGUGAUGAUGUCAGUUGUCCUUGGACAUAUUUUUUAUGGUUCAUAUUCCCUCUCCUUUCUCUUCACUCGCCCCAAUUACCGUGUCCUGUUAAUUAAAAGUUCUUCAAAUCCAUGUCCCUCCUUCCCAUUGCCACCGUCACUGCCCUUGUUCAUUCCAGUAACAUCUCUCCUCUGGACCCUUUAUUGCAUCAGGCGCCUCAGUUCCCUCUGUCUCCUCAGCCCCUUCUAGUGUAUUCUCUAUUUAGCUAAAAAAUGAACUUUCUACAGCAAAACUCGGAUCAUGUCAGCCAAAAUUCUUCUGACUCACGUGCCUACACAGUGCCGUCUAGCUCCUAGGCUCAUGGGUUUCAUGAUGGGGCCCACUCCUGCCCAUCCACCUUCAUCCCAAGUACUCUAAGGAAAGCUGUAGCUCUGGCUGAACAGAGAGGCAGCAUGGUGGAGUGGUUCUGAGCCUGGACUCACUGCUAGACAGCUUGUUCAUACAUGUCACUUCUGUGAUUCUGUGUCUGGAAUUUAUUCCUUCCGGUGGGUUCUUGGUCUCGCUGACUUCAAGAAUGAAGCUGCAGACCCUCGCCAUGAGUGUUACAGUUCUUAAAGAUGGUGUGUCCGGAGUUUGUUCCUUCAGAUGUUCAGAUGUGUCUGGAGUUUCUUCCUGGGGUAGGUGCAUGGUCUCGCUGACUUCAGGGGUGAAGCCACAGACCUUCGCAGUCAGUGUUACAGCUCUUAAAGGUGGCGCGUCCGGAGUUGUUUGUUCCUCCUGGUGGGUUCAUGGUCUCGCUGACUUCAGGAAUGAAGCCGCAGACCCUUGCAGUGAGUGUUACAGCUCAUAAAGGUAGUGCACAUCCAGAGUCAGGAGCAGCAAGAUUUAUUGUGAAGCGCAAAAGAACAAAGCUUCCACAGUGUGGAAGGGGACCCGAGCGGGUUGCCACUGCUGGCCUGGGUGGCCAGCUUUUAUUCCCUUAUUUGGCCCCGCCCACAUCCUGCUGAUCGGUCCAUUUUACAGAAAGCUGAUUGGUCCAUUUUACAGAGUGCUGACUGGUAUACUUACAAUCCUUUAGCUAGACACAGAGUGCUGAUUGUUGCAUUUACAAUCCUUUAGCUAGACACAGAGCACUGACUGGUGCGUUUUUACAGAGUGCUGAUUGGUGCAUUUACAAUCCUCUAGCUAGACACAGAGCACUGAUUGGUGUGUUUUUACAGAGUCCUGACUGGUGCAUUUACAAUCCUCUAGCUAGACAGAAAAGUUCUCCAAGCCCCCACUCGACCCAGGAAGUCCAGCUAGCUUCACCUCUCAAUUUGGUAUUCUCCUCUGUGGAAUGUCAUUAGAAGGAUUAUAUGAGAAUAUAUUUUAAAGGUACACCUGGUACAUAGUGAGAGCUAUGGAAACAUUCGUUAAGUCCAAGAAAAAUUGUCCAUUGGACUGUCAAAGUCUCUCCUACCCCAGUGAAUUUCAACUGUGGUCUUUAUUAUUUAUUUAUUUAUUGAGACAGUCUCACUCUGUGGCUAGGCUGGAGUGCAAUAGCACAAUCUGGGCUCACUGCAACCUCCACCUCCCGGUUUCAAGGUAUUCUCCUGCCUCAGCCUCCCAAGUGGCUGGGAUUACAGGCACACACCACCACACCUGGCUAAUUUUUUGCAUUUUUAGUAGUGACGGGAUUUCACCGUGUUGGCCAGGAUGGUCUCAGUCUCCUGACCUUGUGAUCCACCGGCCUCAGCCUCCCCAAGUGCGGAGAUUACACGUGUGAGCCACCAUUCCCAGCCUAUUUUUUUUAUUUUUGAGACAAGGCUUAGCUCCAUUGCCCAGGCUGGAGUGCAGUGGCAUGAUCAAAGCUCACUGAAACCUCUGCCUCCCAGGCUCAGGCGAUCCUCCUUCCUCAGCCUCCUGAUUAGCUGGGACUACAGGUGCAUGCCACCACGCCCAGCUAAUGUGUUGCUCUUGUUGUAGAGAUGGGGUUUCAUCACAUUGCCAAGGUUGGUCUCAAACUCUUGGGCUCGAGUGAUCCACCUACCUCAGCCUCCUAAACUGCUGGGAUUACAGGCAUGAGCCACCAUGCCCAGCUCUGCACUGUUAGUCUUAAGCCCAUUUUGGGAACUUUGCUUUCCCUUGGUCAAUCUUUCCUCUUCCUUCUAGAAGCUAAAAUGUCAGGUUCUCUGUGAAGCCUUCCUACUGCACUUUGUUCAGCUCCCUAUUAAAAUUUUAUUGGAUUAUUUUAUUAGCUCCCUGUGGCUGCUAUGACAAAUUACCACAAAACAGGUGUCUUAAAACAACAGAAAUUUAUUCUCUCAUAGUUCUAGAGGCCAGAAGUCUGAAAUUAGAUUAACAGGCUGAAGUGAGGGUAUUGGCAAAGCCACACUCCCUCCCGAGGCUCUAGGGGAAAGGUGUUCCUUGCCUCUUCCAGCUCUGGUGGCUGCCAGCAUUCCUUAGCCCAUCACUGUAUCCCUCUCAUCACUGCCUCCAUAGUCACAUUGCUGCCUCCUCUCCUGUCUGUGUCAAAUUUCCUUCUGUCCUUCAUCAGAAAACUUGCAACUGCACAGAGAACCCACCUGGAUGUUCCAGGAUACUCUCACUCUCUCAAGAUCCUUAAAACACAUUUGCAAGACCCUUUGAAGCCAUUUAUAGAUUCCAGGGAUUGGAACCUAAUAUCUAUGAGUGCCAACAUUCAGCACUUCAUAACUGUUUUCAUGUAUGUUGGUCUUUACACCUUGGUAUGACUAGGAUCUAUCACAGUGUAAGUACAUAGUAUGUCCUCAAUAAGUGACAUGUAGACAUAGAUGCAGAACUAUACAGCAUCUAGGCCCUUUGCUCACGUUCACUGGGAUACCUUCUUUGCUAAGGCUUCAUUUCCCUAGGCCAGAGCUAUUUCUUUCAUGUGCUAAUCUGUGGUUGGAAGGAUCUUUUACUCAUAAAUUAGAUCAACUUCUAGGUUAGAGAAAUUAAGCAAAGGAGUUUUCGUCCUUGUACCACUUCUCCUGAGUUUCAGUGAGGCAAAGUAACCAAAAACACUCCUUUCAAAUUCCAUACCUCCUACGUUAUGGAGCAGAGGGCGUAGGAAAAGUGGAUGGGUCCUGGCUGCUCAAAGACUUCACGGAAUGUGAGAUUACAGAGUGGCAGAGUGACAAGUAUGGGCUUCAUGAAGAGCGCUGUCAUCAGUCUCCCCGGGCUGGUUUAUUGCCAUUCUUUGGCUGUUUAUUUUAAACACAGUUUUCUUAGUAAUUUAAGCUCCUAAAUUCAUGGCUACUGCUUCAGUGACCAUUUCCCCAUCUCGAGUCAUUUAAGUUCAUCACAGGGAUUUUUCUGAAAUGAGGCGGUUUCUUUUCCAGUGUUCUCAAAUCACAGUCACCUCCACCCUCAAGAAUAAGCCAGCACUCAUCUGGAAAGAUAAUUCGGUAGCUAUGUAAUUGCUUUUUUCUCAGCUGUGGAAAUCUUUCCCAAUUAAAGUGGAAAAAGUUACUUGCAAUAAAAAAAGUAAACAGGUAGAUUACUUUGCACAAUUAAUCAUUGAAACAGUAAACUGUCUACUGUAUUGUAAUUGUUUACUUCUACGUCAGUCUUUUCAUCUUUUUGCUGGUUAGAGCCCCCAGAAAUCAGAAUGAGAUUCCAUGACGUUUAUUCAACCUUUAAAUAUUUUUUCCAUUCUCUCUGUGUUCCAGGAGUAGUGAUAAGAGCUGGUGAUGUAAGGGUAACAAAAACAGACUCAUUCCCUGCCCUCAUGGAGCUUGUACAGUCUGGUGGAGGAUGUAAACACUAAUCAGGUCAUCACACAGACAAAUGCAAACUGUCAGUGGUCUCACAUGCCAAGGCUGUUUAUAUACAUGUAAACAGUUAUGAAGUGCUGAAUGUUGGCACCCCAGCCAACCCACAAUGCUGCUGGCAGAUCAGUCUAAAACACUGGACUCAAUGUGCCACCCCUCACUUAAACGCUUUAACUGGCUCUCCCAUGGCCUCUGGGGCAGAACUCACCUCUGGAGAAGAUGCUCUUCAGCUGUUCCUGCCUCAUUUCCUGUCCUCUCUUCCAGAUGCUCAGGGGCCCCCAACUACAAGCUCUGUGCUUUCAGGGUCUUCUGUCUUUGUACGCAGUUCUCUCUGCCCAGAAAACUCUUCUCCCCACCUCCACUUGCAAAAUCCUGUCCAUCCUUCAGGCUCAGCUCUAACGUUACUUGAAUGUGAUGCCUGUCUUGACUGUUUAGCAGGCUAAAGCUGUCACUCCCUGCCUGUACUACCACAGAACAUUUUGUACAAGCCACCAUAACUGCACUUAUCCCAGUGAACUGUGUUUGUUUGCAGCAAAACACUGUGGUUAGGAACAUGGACCUUGAAUUCAGACUGACUUGGAAACCAAAUUCUGCAAUUUAUUGUGUGGCCUUGAAAAUCAUUCCUUCUGGGUCUUAGUUUCCUUCCUAAUUUUGGCAAUGAGGGGCAUAAUACCUAACUCAUUAGCCUGUUGUAAAGAUAAACCAGAUAAUGUGUUUAAUGAUGGAGCACGAUGCCUGGUCAACAAUACUCAAUAACUAAUGGUAUUAUCAAACUUGAAUGUGCCAAAUGCAAGGACCUAGGACUACAUUUUGUCCACUUUUUUUUUUUUUUUUUUUUUGAGACAGAGUUUCGCUCUUCUUGCGCAGGCUGGAGUGCAAUGGUGCGAUUUUGGCUCACAGCAACCUCCACCUCCCAGGUUCAAGCGAUUCUCCUGCCUCAGCCUCCCGAGUAGCUGGGAUUACAGGCAUGCACCACCACACCUGGCUAAUUUUGUAUUUUUAGUAGAGAUGAGGUUUCUCCAUGUUGGUCAGGCUGGUCUUGAACUCUCGACCUCAGGUGAUCCGCCUACCUCGGCCUCCCAAAGUGCUGGGAUUACAGGCGUGAGCCACCACAGCCGGCUGAUGUCCAUCUUUCUAUCCCAGUUGCUGGCCAUAGUCAGUCGAAGUUUCUUAAAAUGCAUAAAUGAAAAUACUAUCAUAACUUCCUUUACUUGAAGACGGGUUAGAGGCUUAUUUAGUUUGCCACUAAUAAGGGCUUUUUUGUUUUCUUUUGAGACAAGGUCCUGCUCUGUCACCCAGGCUGGAGUAUAAUGGAGUCACCACAGCUCACUGCAACCUUGACUUCCCAGGCUCAAGCUAUCCUCCCACCUCAGCACCACUUGAGAGGUGGUUAAUUUCCCAUAGAGACGGGGUCUUUAUGUUGCCCAAGCUGGUCUCCAACUCUCCAAUUCCUGGGCUCAAAUGAUCCUCCCACCUUGGCCUCCCACAGUGUUGGGAUUACAGGGCUGAGCCACCACACCCAGCUGAUAAAGACAUUUUACUGAAAUGCCAAAAAUUCCACUGAUUUUACAUCUCCAAUCAUAUUAAUCCUUUCCCUUUGCUCAACCAGUCCUGAACUUACACAGGUAACUGUUUGAGGUCCUAUUUUGAAGUAGUGGUUUCUGCUAAAUGAUCUCGUCACAAUUUUAGUCUUUACUGCAUGUACAUCAAUUCCAGUCUUUACAUAAUCAUGUGGAACACGGAUUAUAUUUUCCUUUCUCAUAUGAAAAGUAAUAGCGUGCAUGUGUAUAGGAUUUACGUUUCAGGCUUUGUGGGCUUUAAAUCCUUUGACUCCUAACCCAAGUGACUUUUCUAAGAUCACAGUUCGUGGGUGGUCAAGCAUAUUAAAACUACUGCAAACUCUAGCGCAGUGUCCUGGACACUGGCCACAGCAUCGCAUUAUCCCCCAACAGCCUAAAUUCCUUGAAGGCAAGGUUCUCUCUGGCUUCCUCUGCAACGUUCGCAGCAUGCCUCAGAGACUCGGUGAGCUGGGCCGGCCAAUGCAUUUCCUCUUCCGUCCAUGUAAUUCCACUAGAGGAGCAGAGGGCAAACUACGUUCCCAUUAAAGCCACAAGGUUUAAAAACCUCUAACCUUGGAAAAGCACACUUCAACCCUCUGCACACCAAACUUCUCUACUGUGGUUUCCCCUCUGCCGCUUUCUCCUUGGCGUUCCCCGAUCACUGCCUCUAGGGUCUUUACAAGGGACAGCGAACGUAAGGUUUCGGAGCUGGCUUCGCCCCCUUCUAUUUACCGGGGGCUGGUCAUCCUUCGGGCCAGGCUGACUGUCUAGGGGUGGCCCUCGGAUACCUGGUCCCCGCAGGUGACCCCCCUCCCUCCCACCGAGGAGGAGGGCGCGUCCCGCUCGCUCCGUGGAGACGCCGCGGAGGCGCACACGCCUCACGCCUCCUCGCAGAAGCCACAGGGGCUGCGGCUCUUUGUCGCGGCCACACCGGAA
rnacentral:lncRNA from 1 species